UGGCGGACGGGUGAGUAACACGUGGGUAACCUGCCCUUAAGUGGGGGAUAACAUUUGGAAACAGAUGCUAAUACCGCAUAAAUCCAAGAACCGCAUGGUUCUUGGCUGAAAGAUGGCGUAAGCUAUCGCUUUUGGAUGGACCCGCGGCGUAUUAGCUAGUUGGUGAGGUAACGGCUCACCAAGGCAAUGAUACGUAGCCGAACUGAGAGGUUGAUCGGCCACAUUGGGACUGAGACACGGCCCAAACUCCUACGGGAGGCAGCAGUAGGGAAUCUUCCACAAUGGACGCAAGUCUGAUGGAGCAACGCCGCGUGAGUGAAGAAGGCUUUCGGGUCGUAAAACUCUGUUGUUGGAGAAGAAUGGUCGGCAGAGUAACUGUUGUCGGCGUGACGGUAUCCAACCAGAAAGCCACGGCUAACUACGUGCCAGCAGCCGCGGUAAUACGUAGGUGGCAAGCGUUAUCCGGAUUUAUUGGGCGUAAAGCGAGCGCAGGCGGUUUUUUAAGUCUGAUGUGAAAGCCCUCGGCUUAACCGAGGAAGUGCAUCGGAAACUGGGAAACUUGAGUGCAGAAGAGGACAGUGGAACUCCAUGUGUAGCGGUGAAAUGCGUAGAUAUAUGGAAGAACACCAGUGGCGAAGGCGGCUGUCUGGUCUGUAACUGACGCUGAGGCUCGAAAGCAUGGGUAGCGAACAGGAUUAGAUACCCUGGUAGUCCAUGCCGUAAACGAUGAAUGCUAGGUGUUGGAGGGUUUCCGCCCUUCAGUGCCGCAGCUAACGCAUUAAGCAUUCCGCCUGGGGAGUACGACCGCAAGGUUGAAACUCAAAGGAAUUGACGGGGGCCCGCACAAGCGGUGGAGCAUGUGGUUUAAUUCGAAGCAACGCGAAGAACCUUACCAGGUCUUGACAUCUUUUGAUCACCUGAGAGAUCAGGUUUCCCCUUCGGGGGCAAAAUGACAGGUGGUGCAUGGUUGUCGUCAGCUCGUGUCGUGAGAUGUUGGGUUAAGUCCCGCAACGAGCGCAACCCUUAUGACUAGUUGCCAGCAUUUAGUUGGGCACUCUAGUAAGACUGCCGGUGACAAACCGGAGGAAGGUGGGGAUGACGUCAAAUCAUCAUGCCCCUUAUGACCUGGGCUACACACGUGCUACAAUGGAUGGUACAACGAGUUGCGAGACCGCGAGGUCAAGCUAAUCUCUUAAAGCCAUUCUCAGUUCGGACUGUAGGCUGCAACUCGCCUACACGAAGUCGGAAUCG
rnacentral:rRNA from 2 species